GACGAACGCUGGCGGCGUGCUUAACACAUGCAAGUCGAACGGAAAGGCCCUGCCUUUGUGGGGUGCUCGAGUGGCGAACGGGUGAGUAACACGUGAGUAACCUGCCCUUGACUUUGGGAUAACUUCAGGAAACUGGGGCUAAUACCAGAUAGGAGCUCCUGCUGCAUGGUGGGGGUUGGAAAGUUUCGGCGGUUGGGGAUGGACUCGCGGCUUAUCAGCUUGUUGGUGGGGUAGUGGCUUACCAAGGCUUUGACGGGUAGCCGGCCUGAGAGGGUGACCGGCCACAUUGGGACUGCGGUACGGCCCAGACUCCUACGGGAGGCAGCAGUGGGGAAUAUUGCACAAUGGGCGGAAGCCUGAUGCAGCAACGCCGCGUGCGGAAUGACGGCCUUCGGGUUGUAAACCGCUUUCGCCUGUGACGAAGCGUGAGUGACGGUAAUGGGUAAAGAAGCACCGGCUAACUACGUG
rnacentral:rRNA from 1 species